rnacentral:rRNA from 1 species
AUACGUAGGGGGCGAGCGUUGUCCGGAAUGAUUGGGCGUAAAGGGCGCGUAGGCGGCCCGGUAAGUCUGGAGUGAAAGUCCUGUUUUUAAGAUGGGAAUUGCUUUGGAUACUGUCGGGCUUGAGUGCAGGAGAGGUCAGUGGAAUUCCCAGUGUAGCGGUGAAAUGCGUAGAGAUUGGGAGGAACACCAGUGGCGAAGGCGACUUACUGGACUGUAACUGACGCUGAGGCGCGAAAGUGUGGGGAGCAAUCAGGAUUAUAUACCCUGGUAGUCCACACUGUAAACGAUGAAUGCUAGGUGUAGUGGGUAUCGACCCUUUCUGUGCCGCAGUCAACACAAUAAGCAUUCCGCCUGGGGAGUACGGCCGCAAGGUUGAAACUUAAAGGAAUUGGCGGGG